rnacentral:rRNA from 1 species
GUGCCAGCAGCCGCGGUAAUUCCAGCUCCAAUAGCGUAUAUUAAAGUUGUUGUGGUUAAAAAGCUCGUAGUUGAACCUUGGGCCUGGCUGGCCGGUCCGCCUCACCGCGUGCACUGGUCCGGCCGGGCCUUUCCCUCUGUGGAACCCCAUACCCUUCACUGGGCGUGGCGGGGAAACAGGACAUUUACUUUGAAAAAAUUAGAGUGCUCCAGGCAGGCCUAUGCUCGAAUACAUUAGCAUGGAAUAAUAAAAUAGGACGCGCGGUUCUAUUUUGUUGGUUUAUAGGACCGCCGUAAUGAUUAAUAGGGACAGUCGGGGGCAUCAGUAUUCAACUGUCAGAGGUGAAAUUCUUGGAUCAGUUGAAGACUAACUACUGCGAAAGCAUUUGCCAAGGAUGUUUUCAUUAAUCAGGAACGAAAGUUAGGGGAUCGAAGACGAUCAGAUACCGUCGUAGUCUUAACCAUAAACUAUGCCGACUAGGGAUCGGACGGUGUUAUUCAUGACCCGUUCGGCACCUUACGAGAAAUCAAAGUGCUUGGGCUCCAGGGGGAGUAUGGUCGCAAGGCUGAAACUUAAAGAAAUUGACGGAAGGGCACCACCAGGGGUGGAGCCUGCGGCUUAAUUUGACUCAACACGGGGAAACUCACCAGGUCCAGACACAAUAAGGAUUGACAGAUUGAGAGCUCUUUUCUUGAUUUUUGUGGGUGGUGAUGCAUGGCCGUUCUUAGUUGGUGGGGUGACUUGUCUGCUUAUUGCGAUAACGAACGAGAUCUUUAAUCU